rnacentral:rRNA from 1 species
AGUGAACGCUGGCGGUAGGCCUAACACAUGCAAGUCGAACGGCAGCACAGUAAGAGCUUGCUCUUACGGGUGGCGAGUGGAGGACGGGUGAGGCAUACAUCGGAAUCUACUUUUUCGUGGGGGAUAACGUAGGGAAACUUACGCUAAUACCGCAUACGACCUACGGGUGAAAGCAGGGGAUCUUCGGACCUUGCGCGAUUGAAUGAGCCGAUGUCGGAUUAGCUAGUUGGCGGGGUAAAGGCCCACCAAGGCGACGAUCCGUAGCUGGUCUGAGAGGAUGAUCAGCCACACUGGAACUGAGACACGGUCCAGACUCCUACGGGAGGCAGCAGUGGGGAAUAUUGGACAGUGGGCGCAAGCCUGAUCCAGCCAUACCGCGUGGGUGAAGAAGGCCUUCGGGUUGUAAAGCCCUUUUGUUGGGAAAGAAAAGCAGCAGGUUAAUACCCCGCUGUUCUGACGGUACCCAAAGAAUAAGCACCGGCUAACUUCGUG